GCAAGUGGUGUUACUGCGUUGAUGAAAAUAUUUUCUGCAUGCCUGACGUCAUGUCAACGUUACUGUAUGCAGAACUUUUUCUCCUCUGUAAGUUAUGGCACUUCACUUGAUUAUAUUUACAUUUUAUAACUUAAGUAUAACUAAAGUUAAGUAUAUGUGACACAUAUUGCGAUGAGAAAUUAACAGGUGGAUGACAGACUGUCGAUGAAGAGAGCUCACCACAGACCCAGACAAGGCGUCUAUUGUAUUUUAUUACGCGGAAGCCAUGCCACCAAUGGAGAGAAGCGAGAGGAGUACAGAACAGGGUGACUACUGAUCUGGACCACAUUCUGAAGGGGCUGGACUCCAUGUCUGAGUGUCUGGACAGACUGGCUUGUAGAUACAUCUGUAUCUCUCUUCUUUACCCCUCUGGGCUCUCUCCUUUAUCUACUACAGUGUUCCCAACCCUCUCCUUUAUCUACUACAGUGUUCCCAACCCUCUCCUUUAUCUACUACAGUGUUCCCAACCCUCUCCUUUAUCUACUACAGUGUUCCCAACCCUCUCCUUUAUCUACUACAGUGUUCCCAACCCUCUCCUUUAUCUACUACAGUGUUCCCAACCCUCUCCUUUAUCUACUACAGUGUUCCCAACCCUCUCCUUUAUCUACUACAGUGUUCCCAACCCUCUCCCUUAUCUACUACAGUGAUCCCAACCCUCUCCUUUAUCUAUUACAGUGUUUCCCAACCCUCUCCUUUAUCUACUACAGUGUUCCCAACCCUCUCCUUUAUCUACUACAGUGUUCCCAACCCUCUCCUUUAUCUACUACAGUGUUUCCCAAUCCUCUCCUACUUAGGGAACCGUCAGACAAUCCACAUUCUUGUUCUAGCCCUGCAAUGCCACAUGCAGUUCAACUAAUCAACAAAUCAACUGUUCUUAAAUAAAAAUCAUACAUUUUGGUAGACUCAGUCCUUUUGAUUUUAAACCUCUUUUAAAAAGUGCACAGAGCUAGGCCAGCUUUGUCUAAUAGACAGAAGUUUAUUUUACAGUGUGUUUUUUUGUGAAUGUUUUCUUCUGUUCAGUGCGGUUCACAGUGCGGACACAGCUGAGACAGUGUGACCUGAUCGUGUGACAAGAUGGCCUCUCUGAACAGAGUGGAACAGGGGGUGGGUGACCUGGCCAAACAUGACCUCAGGCUGAGGAGUGAGGAAGAAGAUGAGGAGGAGGAGAAGAUGAAGAAGAUGGAGGAGGAUGGAGAGUAAAUGAAGGUGAGUCAUAAAGGAACACACACUGUGUCUCCUGUGCUGCUGGUUAUGGUCAGAGUGGUGCAGGGUGCAGCAGGCAGCACUGGCUCUGUGCUCCAGUUCCUCUCUCCAUGUCUAUGAGCAGCAGAGGUGUGUGUGUGUAGUGGUCUAUCAUCUCCUUCACUCCUGGGAAACUCUGCAUCAGCAACACAGCAGCAUAUAAUGGAAAGGCCCAUUGGUUAGUUUAUGAUGUGGUAGCAGGUUGGCAUUUGUUGUCAUGAACUCUGCAGAGUGGUCACUAGCUGGCACAGCCACAAAGUCAUGCAAUCUGAUUUUAAACCUAACCCUAGCCUCAACCC